rnacentral:rRNA from 1 species
UACGUAGGGGGGCUAGCGUUGUCCGGAAUCAUUGGGCGUAAAGCGCGUGUAGGCGGCCCGGUAAGUCCGCUGUGAAAGUCGGGGGGCUCAACCCUCGGAUGCCGGUGGAUACUGUCGGGCUAGAGUACGGAAGAGGCGAGUGGAAUUCCUGGUGUAGCGGUGAAAUGCGCAGAUAUCAGGAAGAACACCCGUGGCGAAAGCGGCUCUCUGGAACGGUACUGACGCUGAGACGCGAA